AGAGUUUGAUCCUGGCUCAGAACGAACGCUGGCGGCGCGUCUUAACCAUGCAAGUCGAGCGGCAGGCAGCAAUGCCGAGAGCGGCGGACUGGUGAGUAACACGUGGAUAACGUACCCCGCUGACCGGGACAGCCUGUAGAAAUAGAGGGUGAUACCGGAUAGAUCACUGUUUACGGAAGGUAGACAGCGGGAAAGGAGCUUCGGCUCCGCGACGGGAUCGGUCUGCGGCCCAUCAGCUGGACGGCGGGGUAAAGGCCCGCCGUGGCGAGGACGGGUAUCCGGCCUGAGAGGGCGGACGGACACAUUGGGACUGAGAUACGGCCCAGACUCCUACGGGAGGCAGCAGGUAAGAAUAUUCCGCAAUGGGGGGAACCCUGACGGAGCGACGCCGCGUGAACGAAGAAGGCCGGAAGGUUGUAAAGUUCUUUUCUGUCCGAGGAAUAAGUGUUGGAGGAAAUGCCGACAUGGUGACGGUAGGGCAGGAAUAAGCACCGGCUAAUUACGUGCCAGCAGCCGCGGUAACACGUAAGGUGCGAGCGUUGUUCGGAAUUAUUGGGCGUAAAGGGCAUGCAGGCGGGUCGCCAAGCUUGGUAAGAAAUACCGGGGCUCAACUCCGGAGCUAUAUUGAGAACUGGCGAGCUAGAGUUGCCGAAGGGUAUCCGGAAUUCCGCGUGAAGGGGUGAAAUCUGUAGAUAUGCGGAAGAACACCGAUGGCGAAGGCAGGAUACCGGCGGACGACUGACGCUGAGGUGCGAAGGUGCGGGGAGCAAACAGGAUUAGAUACCCUGGUAGUCCGCACAGUCAACGAUGUACACUGGGCGUGUGCGCAAGAGCGUGCGUGCCGAAGCAAACGCGAUAAGUGUACCGCCUGGGGAGUAUGCCCGCAAGGGUGAAAC
rnacentral:rRNA from 1 species